rfam:Helianthus annuus linkage group 10, whole genome shotgun sequence.
GUGGUUCAAAGGGAGUUCCCUUCAGUCCACUCAUAGGGAGAUAGAGGGUACGGAUUUGCUGCCGACUCAUUCAUACAAACACAAUAGGAAGGACCUAUUGUGAAUGCGUGAAUGAUGCGGGAGUCAGAUCUAACCUUUUUCUUUCUGUGCUUGGACUGAAGGGAGCUCCCUUGACCGUCUUU